rnacentral:rRNA from 1 species
UACAGAGGGGGCAAGCGUUAUUCGGAAUUAUUGGGCGUAAAGGGCGCGUAGGCGGCUUUGCAAGUGGCGGGUGAAAUCCCUCGGCUUAACCGAGGAACUGCCUGCCAGACUGUGAGGCUUGAGACCGGGAGAGGUGAGUGGAAUUCCCGGUGUAGCGGUGAAAUGCGUAGAUAUUGGGAGGAACACCAGUGGCGAAGGCGGCUCACUGGACCGGAACUGACGCUGAGGAGCGAAAGCGUGGGGAGCGAACAGG